rnacentral:rRNA from 1 species
UACGGAGGGUGCAAGCGUUGUUCGGAAUCAUUGGGCGUAAAGCGCGUGUAGGCGGCCGGGUAAGUCUGAUGUGAAAGCCCGGGGCUCAACCCCGGAAGUGCAUUGGAUACUGCCUGGCUAGAGGGCGAGAGAGGAAAGUGGAAUUCCUGGUGUAGGGGUGAAAUCCGUAGAUAUCAGGAGGAACAUCAGUGGCGAAGGCGACUUUCUGGCUCGUUACUGACGCUGAGACGAGAAAGCGUGGGGAGCAAACAGG